UGAGGACAAGCGAGCUUUGGCUAUAUAUGUUUAAAUAUGAGGAGAAGGCAAAAAGGGAUCAUAAGGUUAUGGCUGCUUUGCUGAGGCAUGUGCAGCGCCAGAUUGGGCUGGACGUUUGUCCUGCUCAUGAUCCCUUUGCAGCAAAAGCUUCUGACAGUGCUGAUACUUAAUAGUGAGUAUUAGGUUGCUUCAGAACUUUGUUGAUGUUUAAAUAACCAUGAUUGUCCGCGGCAAGAAUGAGCAACUGAGAAAGGUAAUGACUUAUGAUAGGUGGGAAGCUCGAGUUGAUUCUGGAGGGAAAGCCGAAAUUUACUCAGCAAGGAAACCAGGGGGUAACUAACCAGAGAUGGUUGGAAUAUUCUAGAAGAAAUAAGAAGAUUCGAGAAGGAAGCCAAGCAGUUAUCCAUCUAUGCAAUCCGUUAAUGGAAUGACAGCAGAGAGCUCAUGGGAAGAGAGAGAUGCAGGGGCUGAGAAUAGAAUUAAGUGGGAGGCAUGCUUUGUAAUUUUCUUUCCAUUUAUUUGUCAGCUAGGAAUUGCUUGGGGGGCAGAAGGGAAUUCCUGCGCGGAAGAAGUUUCUCCUGGUAUUAUAAUUAGUUUUUUUCCCUAUUUUCUUUGUUACAGUGCUUCUUUACUUUAAGUGUACUCCAUAAUUUCUAUCAAUAGAAGAUCCCCUGUUUCCACAAUCUUCUCUACAAUUCUGGUAUUAAUUGUUCCAUAUCCCAGGGACAGGUUCUUUACUCUAUCAGGUUUAUAUAUGUAUGUGUGAGAGAUGAGAGGGCAAAUAUGGUGCUCAUUGAGUGGCUGUGAUCCUGUUUAUUGCCUGCAGAUCAUGAGUAGUUUCUGUUUGUGGGAUCAACGAACUGGCUUUUAGUCCAAUUAUGCAAGUGUAAAGAAAAACAGUGCAGGAAAGUUGGGAUAGGAGUAAUAUUGAGGCUUGAGACUCUCACAAUGUGUUCAACAAUGUCAUAGUUUCCGCAAAAAAUUGAACUUGUCAAAAUACAUUUCAUAAGUUUUGAAAAGAAUUAGCUUUGUAAGUUCUCUCUCUAAUGCGUUUAGAGAGAGAAUUUCCUCUCAAAUUUUAGCUAGUUUAGGGUUUUCUUUCCCUUGCUCUCUCGGCUGUCCGUAGCCGCUUUCUGCCCUUCGAGGUAGGGGAAGGUUUUUCCCUCCUCCCCAGGGUAUGGGCUUCCCUACUCGUCGCUGGUAAGGCUAUACAUGUUUUUGGCUUGGCAGGAUGGGGUUAAUGGCGAGGGAUCUUAUAUUUGUCCUGGGUGAGGCUUUGUUUGGUUGCUGGAAAGAACGUUGUGCCCACUGAGUUCUGUCUAAGUGGGAUGUGUAGGUGAUCAACGAGGGUGGGGUUCCAAGGAAGGCAAUCCUAAGGGUUUAGAGUUGGCAUUUCAAAGAUUACUUGGUGGUUUUCUCAUGGUUAUCAUGACCUCUGCCAUCAUCUCUCCCCUGUUGAUAGUUGGUUUGAGCCCAAUUUGUCUGACAAUGGCAAUGGAGUUCAUUGAUUUUUAUGGGUUUCUUCGUGUUCCUGGGAGGUCUGCUCAAGCUAGCAAGGAUUUGACAGAAAGAAACUUCCUUUUUUGGCUCCCGCGACCAAUUCCAUGCGACCUUGACGAUGGCGGCGCAACAUGGUUGAGGCUCUGUAUUUGAGUCUCUUAAGAUUUUAUGGAUGACUUUCGCUGGUUGAGUUUGGCACUUUGGGAAAUCCUGCUUUGGGUUGGGUUGGGUUGUAUUGUUUUUACUUUUUAGGUCUUAUUAGAUAUGCCCGCUGUAUUAGGUUAGACCUUAUUACUAUAAUUUGCCAUUUGAUUUUAAUGGAAUGGACUUACAAUUAAAAAAAAAAAAAAA
rnacentral:misc_RNA from 1 species